GCAGACUCAUUCCAGCCAAUCAGCAGCAGACCCUCCCUCCCAGACCCUCCCACCUCCUCUCCUGGACAGCAUCCAUUGUGAAGCUGCAUUCUUAGUGAGCUGCCCAGGAGUUGGGAAGGUCUGGGAGGGAGGGUCUGCUGCUGAUUGGCUUGAAUGUGUCU